AUUGAACGCUGGCGGCAUGCCUUACACAUGCAAGUCGAACGGUAACGCGGGGCAACCUGGCGACGAGUGGCGAACGGGUGAGUAAUGCAUCGGAACGUGCCCAGUAGUGGGGGAUAGCCCGGCGAAAGCCGGAUUAAUACCGCAUACGACCUACGGGUGAAAGCGGGGGACCGCAAGGCCUCGCGCUAUUGGAGCGGCCGAUGUCAGAUUAGGUUGUUGGUGGGGUAAAAGCCUACCAAGCCGACGAUCUGUAGCUGGUCUGAGAGGACGACCAGCCACACUGGGACUGAGACACGGCCCAGACUCCUACGGGAGGCAGCAGUGGGGAAUUUUGGACAAUGGGGGCAACCCUGAUCCAGCCAUGCCGCGUGCGGGAAGAAGGCCUUCGGGUUGUAAACCGCUUUUGUCAGGGAAGAAACGCUCUGGGCUAAUACCCCGGGGUAAUGACGGUACCUGAAGAAUAAGCACCGGCUAACUACGUGCCAGCCGCCGCCGUAAGAC
rnacentral:rRNA from 1 species